rnacentral:lncRNA from 1 species
CCCAUCAGCAUUUAUUAGAUAGGCUCGAGCUAGUGCAUUGAUUUCCAUUGUGUAACGGAAAUGGGGAUGGAGCAGUCUAUAGAUUGGAUGCAUUUCACUGAGUUGUCGAUUUGUAGCAAUUAUAUAAGGUUCAGUACAACAAUGGGUUCUUAGCCUGCAACAGAAACUCAACAGUUACGUGUAACUCUGAUUUAUAAGGCAAUAUUGAUUAUCACAUACUUAUGAAGAAACUUGGUAGAAAUAUAUACCAGUGACUAAUAAGCUGGUGAUAACCGGAAUCAUGAGCAAGCACAUGAGCUUUAGCAAGCCUCCAAAGCCAGACACCUGAAGAAUGCCAAGAAGGCCUAUAUGCUUCCUUCCACUGUGGCUUCCCAUCCAUAGGGGGGCGAGUUAGCUCGAUGGCCAAAGGCCUCAGAGUCUCGUCCGGGUUUAAGAAAAAUAGCGUGCGUGAUCCAUAUAAUGUUGUCCCUGGAAGCUGUCUAACUUUCUUCACGUAUGGUAGUAACAGGUCAUGGUAAUCUAGGACAAACAACUUUUUUUGCUCCAAUGCCUACACAUGAAGAACAUAAUUAAUUAAAAAAGUUUGUUUAGCGUCAACAUUUGAAUGAGUACACGGACAACUUGGGUACCUCCUCCAAUGAGCAGAAACCUCGGAUUUGUUGCUCGACCAUCUCUUUGGUGAUUACCGAUUCCGGGGGGCCGUAGAUUGCAGGAUCAAGUUUGCUCUUCAGUGGCCAUUCCUAUAGGGUUUUUUUGGAAACUAUCAAACCUUUGGGCCUUAAACAGUUCCAUUGUAUUUCUUUUUGCAUGCCCCAUAAAGUAUGCACAAAUGCAAUUUUAACCGAGCUAUGAAAUUAUCAUUUAACCAAUACUUGCAUAACUAUAUAUAUAUUUGAGCAAGCAUAAUUAUAUAAAUUUUAUAUCGGGUAUGGGAUGGGUUUUUGCGCGCAAAGUUGGAACCGUGGAUAUGGUACCAACAAGCUUAAAACUUACACAAAUGAUAUGAACCGAUGCUUUCGUAGAAGCAGCUAGCAUUAAGUAUUAGAUAUUUUAGUACUCAGGUUGAGUCUUUUAAUUUUACACAUUUUCAGAUACCUUGAGACUAACAUCGACAAUUAGGUAGGUAUAAUUUGAAAGUUUUUUUUUUUCUAUUAUUUUUAAGAUAACUAUCAUACCGUGACCAAUUGAAGAGCAUAUGGGUUGAUCCCAGAAAGAGUUUGUCGAGCGAAUUCCUCAUCCCUAAACCAAAAGAAUUUGUCUCCUUCAGAAAAAAAAAACAGAACAAAUUAGCAAUCGAUUAAAUAAUCAUGCAAAAUAAAAUUAAAGUAAUCUAACAAGUUAAAGUGACUAACUGAGAGAGAGAACUAACGUUCCAUGGUUUCAGGAAUUUCGAAGCGCAAGGCAUUGUCACUGUCAGAAAUGGCCUUGAGUAGUCUAGGAAGAAUUUCUCUCCACUUAUUGUUUCCCUCCUGGGGAGGCAAGUCAACCCCCUCAUUGAACAGUUGGUCGAUGGCUGUGAAGUAUGGGAACCCAAGAUCCUUAUCUACAAUCGCCGUCUGAAGCGCUGGGACCACCGCAUGAAACACCGAGUACACCGUCUUUGCCGAGAAUGUCAGUUGCUUCACCUCCGAAAAACACUCAUCCCUUGGCACGUAGAACAUAUUACUCUUUGUCUCCGAUUCU